GUGCUUGCUUCGGCAGCACAUAUACUAAAAUUGGACUGGUACAGAGAUUAGCAUGGCCCCUGGGCAAGAAUCAUACACAAAUUGGUGAAGUGUUCCAUAUUAAA